rnacentral:lncRNA from 1 species
CAGUAACCAAGACAGUGCAGUAAUGGCAUAAUCAUUGGCUUAGAUUUAAGACUCAAACAUCUAUGGUCAACUGAUUUUCAUCAAGAGUUCCAAGAUCUUUCAAUAGGAAAAGGAUUUAAUAGUCUCUUAAACAAAUGGCACAGGGACAACUGGAUAGCCACAAGCAAAGAAUCAAUUUUUACCUUUUUCUCACACUAUAUAAAAAAAUUAUCUCAAAAUGGAUCAAAGCUCUAAAUGUAAAUGCUAAAACUAUAAACUCUUAGAAGAAAACAUAAGGGUAAAUCUUCAUGACCCUGGGUUUGGCAUAAUGUCUUAAGAUAUGAUCCCUAAAGUGCAAGUAACAAAAGAAAAAAAUCGAUAAUAGGACUUCAUCAAAAUUUAAAACUUUUAUGCUUUAAAGAACACUAUUAAGAAAGUGAAAACAAGGCCGGCCAUAAUGGCUCAGGCAUGUAAUCCUAGCACUCUGGGAGGCCAAGGCAGGUGGAUUGCUUGAGCCCAGCCUAGGCAACAUAGCAAGACCCUGUCUCAUUAAAAAAUAAAAAUAAAAUGUAAAAAUAAAAAGCAAAAACAACCUUCGGAUGGAGAAAAUAUUUGCAAAGCACAUAUCUGAUAAGGGACUUGUACCCAGAAUAUAUAGAAACUUACAAAUCAGUAGAGGAAGGGAGGGAGGGAGAGAGAGAGGGAGGGAGGGAGGAAGGAAGAAGAGAGAAAAGAACCCAAUUAAAAACUGGACAAAGGAUUUCAAUGGAUAUUUCUCCAAAGAAGAUAUACAAAUGGUAAAUAAGCACAUGAAAAUAUGCUCAACAUCAUCAGUCAUCAGGGAGAGAUAGCACUUCGCACCCACUAGAAUGGCCAUAAUCAAAAGGACAAGUAAUAACAAAUGUUGACAGGGAUGUAGAAAAAUCAGAACCCUCUUAUGAUAAUGGUGGGGAUGUAAAAUGGUGCAGAUACUCUGGAAAACAGUCUGGCAGUUCUUCAAAAGGUUAAAUAUAGAAUUACUAUUUGACCCAACAGUUCCACUCCUAGAUACAUAUCCAAGAGAAAUGAAAACACAUGUCUACACAAAACCUUACACACAAAAAUUCACAGCAGCAUUAUUCAUUACGGCUAAAAGGUGGAAACAAUCCAAAUGUCUAUGAACUGAUGAAUGGAUAAGCAAAAUGUGGUAUAGUCAUACGCUGCAAUAUUAUUUGUCCAUAAAAAGAAUGAGGUACUGAUACAUGCUACAACAUGAGUGAACCUUAAAAACAUUAUACUGAAAUGUUUAAAGUGAAAGAAACCACCCAUAAAAGACCACAUAUUACAUGAUUCCACUUAUGACAUGUCCAGAAUAGGCCAAUCUAUAGAUACAGAAAGUAGCUUGGUGGUUGCUUAAAGCAGGGGGAAUAGGAGAGUUGGGGGUGAUAGCUGAUGGAUAUGGGAUUUCUUUUUGAGGUCAUGAAAAUGUUCUACAAGUUGACUGCGGUGAUGGUUGUAUACUUCAAAUGGAUGAAUUAUAUGAUAUGUUAAUUAUAUCUUAAGAAAGCUGUUACUCCCUGCAUAAAAAGAAAUCACAAUAAAUGUAAAUAGACUAAAUUAUUCAGUUAAAACACAAAAGUGAUGAGCCUCUAACAUGGCUCAGCAUGACACAGACAGGGCUGGGCUGGGGAAAGUUACUAAGACUCUCUUUGGUAUCUGCCCAGCUUUCUCACCACUCCAGCUCUCAAUCUCAGAAACAGUGGGCCAGGAGCACUGUCAUUUCUCUACUCUUAUACUCACUCCUUCUGGAGACCUGAAAAUGAAGACAUUCAGACUAAACUGGAAUGAGUCCAUCUCCAAGGGGUCACUUCUGCCUAACAAAUAAGUGGCCCCCAAAGAGUUCAGGUCUCUAAAGGGGCCCACUGAAGGAAUGACUGGUAACAAGAACUACUGGGAAAUGGGCCACUCCUCAAGCAAAUCCAGCUACUGAAUUGGGUACAAUCAGCACAAGGGAACUGGAGGUAGAAAUGAUACAGAUAGUUUUCAUCACUUUCUGGUGGUGGGCCAUGGAACUAUACAGUCAGGCACAGUACUUAGAGUUUGCUUGGAUGUUAAGAGCACAGACUCUGGAGUUUGAAUCUGGGCUCACAGUUUACUAGCUGAAUAACCUUUGGAAGUUAGGUCCCACUAUGCCUCAGUUUCCUCACCCAAAAAAUGGAGAAAUAAGUUUCACGUAAGACUUGAAACUGUGCCUGGCACAUGAAAAGAGUUCUAGAAAUACUGAUCGUUAUUAUUUGUUAUUAUUACAGUUUCAUAACACUAAGCUCAUUUGACCUUAUCAUAACCCAUGAGAGGAAUGGCGAUUGCUAAUCUCCUUUACGGAUGAGAAAACUGAGGUGCAGAGAGAAUGAGUGACUAGCCCAAGGCUCCACAGGUGGCUGCAGAGGGCCAGCAUUGGAGGACAUGACUCCUGUUUCGGCCAUCCUGCUGCUCUACCACACCCUAAAUAGCAUCUAGUGACCCAAAUUAUGAUUUCUACUCUGCCAAUCACCAGCUGCCUGACCUUAGGCAAGUCGCUUAGGUAACCACCCAACUCUUUCCAUCUGUAAAAUGAGAGGUGAGCUAUGUAGGUGAACACUAAGAGCCCUUGUUUAGCUAACAUUCUGUGAUUGCAAGGGGAGCGCAAGUGAACUGGAUGUGAUGGGCCACAGAACAAUGAGCAACCUGGAGAGCGGGAAGAGAGGGUUUUUCUAGAACCAUGUGUUCGAAAUUGGGAGUCCUCAGAGGGGCUGCAGGAAGGUGAGAGUCCCCACAAGUACCAUAUUUGAGGGUUGGGGUAGUGCCACCUGGAGAGUAAAGGGAAAGAACUUUUUCCUUUAUUUCUUUUACUCUCCAGGUCCUGUGUGCGCUUGGUGAGAAGGCAGCAAGUGAGUCAGUUGUGACUCUCUGCUCCGUGCCCCAGGGCCCUGGGUGUGGUGAAGGAAGCUGUCUGAGCAGUGGGCAGGAGGGGCUGAGCUCAGGGUGAGGGCUGGCGGCAGGGGCGGGUGAAUGGAAAAUACCCAUCUGAACUGCCACACAUCCUGACUGGAUACAGGCUUUAACACGGUCCGUCUCAAAGAAACCUGUGCCCAUGGAACAAACUCUGGGUGAGCGUGCAAGAAAAACGGAAGUGAGAUUCCAACAGGAGGGCACCACUGUCCCUGUCUGACCUUAAACCAGGAGAUUUUGUACAGAUGUAUUCCUUCAAGAAAACCAGCUUGUUGGCAGUAAUAGAGAAGAAAUGAGCUUCUCCCAACAACAGCCAACAACAGCCAAUGACAACAGCAAAAUAGGAAAAAGGGUUGCCCUCUGAAAGGUAAAUAAACUCUAUACACAAUAAAUGACCAUCUGUGGAAGUAAAACCGAGAGACAGGCUUUACCACCUCCCAGAACUCCAAUCCAGAUGACCACGGAUAAAUCUCUAGCACGCGGAAUAGAGAUGUCACGGCUGUUAGGUAAGCAGAGAGUAAUGCAGGGUAUAUAUUCCUGGAAGAGAACAGGGUUAGUCAAACUGGAUCUCAGAAAAGGGAGCUGCUGUACAAGACAUUCUAGGAAGCAAGCCUCUGAAUUCUGAAACCCAGACCUGCUGGUCACGGUGGGGCAGGGAUGAUCUUCCAAGCUUCCCUGCGGUCUGCAUGAAAUUCUCUCACCCACACCAGCUUCCUGUGCUCCAAUUCCAUGCCUCUGACUGGUUUCCACUUAAGAAUUAAUGGGUAAAAAGGAAAAAGAAUUAGUAGUAUGAUCUUGUUGCUUCCCCAGAGUCAUCAAUAAAAAGGCAGAACAGAGAGAAAACAAAACAAAACAAAGUUAUACCAGGAGACAGAACUGGGAGAUCUCAGAUCGUCUUCUCUGUGAAUCGGGUGUUGCUACUGAAGCCGUGAUAAUCCUGGUCACCUGAGGCAGAAAAUAAACAUUUCUUCCUACAAAGAAUGUGGGCAUUUUCCAGUGGGAUUUGUGAGCCAGCAAAGACUUAGCAGCAGUUUCUUCACUGCCAAAAAUCUCUAACUUUCCAUGAUGAAAAACUAUUGUUGUCAUUGACCGGCUUUACGAAAUAUUGGCUUACGUUUUAAUCAUCUGUUGAGCAUCAGGCACUAUCCUGGGCACCUGUGAAUCCAUUUGGUCCUCGCAGCUAUUCUAUGACAUGGGCACAUUAUCCUCCUUCACAGAUGAAGAAACAAGUUAAAGAGAUGUUCCCAAAAGAGUUAAGUUAGGAGCAAAGUUAAUACUUGAACCCAAAUCUGUUUCCAGGGUUUUUAUGCCUUUCACUACACCUGCUUUGCAGGAAAGUGAUGAGAAUUUCUAGUAGACGCUGAGUAGGGGCGGUGCUGCACGGCACUCACUGUUUCUGAGAUACUGGUGAUGGGACAGAUAACCGAGAAGGAGACACUGGUGAAUUCUGAAAGGAAGGUGUGCCUCAGCAAAGGCCGCAGGGGAAGACAGGAGGUUCGCUCGCUCACCUUUAUUUGGAAAGCCUUCCUCCCACAUUCCCUAGCAAUGCUAGUCAGUCCCAGGGGUUUGGAUGGGGCUGGCUGCCCGUGGCCCCUGAUCCAGGGGUUGGGGGCAUUGUUGGGAGCAGAGUCCUCCAUGGGACUUCUGCUAGAGCAAUCAGUGCAGACGUGCUCUUGUUUGGGGAUUGCGAUCUGAAGGCCCCCAGAAGCUUGCGACUGCAGGCAGCCAUCUGUCCAGAGACCACCUAAUCAAGAAACCCCUGACACCCUCAUAGGAGACGCCUGCCAUCCAGCUGUACCUAGAGGAGAUCUACCACCCCCUCUGUAACUUUCAGUUUUGUGAAUCAGCACAUUCAUUCUCUCUCUCUCUCGAUCUCUCUCUCUCUCUCCAAAGUGGCAUUUGUCUAGAUGGCUCAGAGUGUGGUCCUCAAUCUUGCAGAUUCGGAUUCAGUUCUGGGACAGCCUCACUAAAUUGCCCUUUUCCAGCCUGUUUCCUCCCUGUAGACAUUGGCAGGGUGCCUGGCAAGCCCAGCCCAGGCUCUUGUCUGUGACAGAUCUGUCACCUUUUAACUCUUUCCCAGGCUUCCUUGUUUACAUUAACAUGUUUCCAGCCAGAGCGGAGAGCCGUAAACAUCUUGAGGGCUGGGGCGGUGUCUGACUCAUGGCUGGAUUCCCCCAAGCCAAUGCAGAGCGGGAACCUAGCGACACUCAAACACGUUUAAGAGUAAAUUUCUGUUUGAGUCACCAAAGUAAAGAAAUCCAGUCCCCAGUACCAAUUGAAAUAAACCACAAAACACUUUGCCGAAUGGAAACUUGUUCUGCAAUGGUAAAGCAUGACUUUAACUUUAGCCAAAUUACUUCCCAGGAGUUAAACUAACUCAUGAUCUCACUGUCCACUGAAAAAAACUGUUCUUAGUCUGUUUGAGCCAUUGUAAUAUAGACUGGGUAACUUGUACACAGCAGACAUCUAUUUCUCCCAGGUCUGGAGGCUGGGCAUCUGAGAUCGGGACCAGCAUGGUUAGGUUCUGGUGCAGCCCAGAGCAGCAGGAGCUGUGCCCUGGCCCCUGUCCUGAGGAGCUCCCACUGGUCAGCCCCGCCUACUCCAGCUGGACCUUGAUGCUUCACACAAGGUGUGCGCAGAGGACACAGGCACUUCAUGGAGCAACAUACUUUUGUAAAAAAAAUGAAUUCCCUUGUAACAAAUAGAGCACGGAGGCUUUUAUAGAUUAAGUAAUUUGUAGUCUUCUUAUAAUUAUGGCUUCUAAAUUACCUAAAAUAAUUCAUUCAAGGCUUGAUUUUAGUUUUGUCUUGAGAGUGUCAACUCUUUAACUUGAGAUGCUGUAGGAUGGGGUUUCAUCUUGGGAUUCUUUUCUUGGAUAUGUCAUUUAAAUUCUGAUACUUAUAUUCCCUAUUUGAAAACACAUGAUCAAUGACAAUACCAAUACCUGAUUUGUGUGCAAUACUUAUAAUUUACAACGUACAUUAUUUUAACAUACAUUCUUUUCAUGCGACCCUCUCAACAACCCUUUGACAAGGCAAGUCAGAGACUAAUUACUAGAGAUUAUUCAAGCGACUUGCUCCAAGUCAUACAGUAGGCAGGCAGCCAAGAUGACUCUAGUUUUUCCAACUCCUAGUCCCACACUCUUUCCUCUCCCCUUACAUGUUCUGAUAUAAAUCAAACUUAGGUUUGAAAAUAUCUUAUUGAUGUAUUUCAACACCCCAGAAUUUGAUGAGACUGGAAUCGAUUUGUUGUGAUCUGUGAUUGCUGAAUUCCUCGUAUGUGGUGGAUACCAAGGUAAGUUGACUAGAAUGUGAGCUUGCCUACCCAGACACCAGUUCCCAUGUCCUUUGUCCGGUGGUAUAAUUUGAAGUUCACUCUUUUUGGUGUACAGUUUUAUGAGUUGAGUUGUGAAAAACAUAUACAGUUGUGUAUCCACCACUACAGUCAAGAUAUAGAACAGUUCCAUUACCUCAAAAAUUUUUUUCAGGCCGGGCGCAGUGGCUCACGCCUGUAAUCCCAGCACUUUAGGAGGCCAAAGCGGGCGGAUCACGAGGUCAGGAGAUCGAGACCAUCCUGGCUAACGCUGUGAAACCAUGUCUCUACUAAAAAUACAAAAAAAUUAGCCAGGCGUGGUGGCAGGUGCCUGUGGUCCCAGCUACUUGGGAGGCUGAGGCAAGAGAACCGCUUGACCCUGGGAGGCAGAGGUUGCGGUGAGCCAAGAUCGCGCCACUGCACUCCAACCUGGGCGACAGAGCGAGAGUCCAUCUCAAAAAGAAAACAUCAUACUCUUUUGUAGUCAACCCUAGCUAGGCCCCUAUAGUUUUGCCUUUCCCAAAGUAUCUUAUGCAUGGAAUCAUCCAGGAGAUAACCUCCUGAAUCAGGCUUCUGUCUCUUAGCAUAAUGCAUUUGGGAUUUACCAUGUUAUUUCAUUUAUCAGGUUUUUGUCCCUUUUCAUUGCUGAGUAGUAUUUCAUUAUAGGAAUGUACUCUCGUUUGUGGAUCAUUCUGAUCAACUCAGCACAUGUGGAUUAUUUCCAGUCUUGGCAAUGAUGAAUAAAGUCACUCUAAGCAUUCACGUACAGGUUUUUGCAUGAAUAAAAU